CUCCAGACUCCUACGGGAGGCAGCAGUGGGGAAUAUUGCACAAUGGGGGAAACCCUGAUGCAGCGACGCCGCGUGAGCGAUGAAGUAUUUCGGUAUGUAAAGCUCUAUCAGCAGGGAAGAAGAUGACGGUACCUGACUAAGAAGCCCCGGCUAACUACGUGCCAGCAGCCGCGGUAAUACGUAGGGGGCAAGCGUUAUCCGGAUUUACUGGGUGUAAAGGGAGCGUAGACGGCGGCGCAAGCCAGAUGUGAAAGCCCGGGGCUCAACUCCGGGACUGCAUUUGGAACUGUGUGGCUGGAGUGUCGGAGAGGCAGGCGGAAUUCCUAGUGUAGCGGUGAAAUGCGUAGAUAUUAGGAGGAACACCAGUGGCGAAGGCGGCCUGCUGGACGAUGACUGACGUUGAGGCUCGAAAGCGUGGGGAGCAAACAGGAUUAGAUACCCGAGUAA
rnacentral:rRNA from 1 species